rnacentral:rRNA from 1 species
GACGAACGCUGGCGGCGUGCUUAACACAUGCAAGUCGAGCGGAAAGGCCACUUCGGUGGUACUCGAGCGGCGAACGGGUGAGUAACACGUGAGUAAUCUGCCCUCCACUUUGGGAUAACCUCCGGAAACGGUGGCUAAUACCGGAUACGACACAGGUUCGCAUGAGCUCUGUGUGGAAAGUUUUUUCGGUGGGGGAUGUGCUCGCGGCCUAUCAGCUUGUUGGUGGGGUAAUGGCCUACCAAGGCUUCGACGGGUAGCCGGCCUGAGAGGGUGACCGGCCACACUGGGACUGAGACACGGCCCAGACUCCUACGGGUGGCUG